rnacentral:rRNA from 1 species
AGAGUUUGAUCCUGGCUCAGGAUGAACGCUGGCGGUAUGCUUAACACAUGCAAGUCGAACGGGGGGAGACCUUUAGGGGUUGAACCUAGUGGCGGACGGGUGAGUAACGCGUGAGAACCUGCCUUCAAGACGGGAACAACAGUUGGAAACGACUGCUAAUACCCGAUAAGCCGAAAGGUGAAAGAUUUAUCGCUUGGAGAGGGGCUUGCGUCUGAUUAGCUAGUUGGUGGGGUAAAUGCUUACCAAGGCGACGAUCAGUAGCUGGUCUGAGAGGAUGAGCAGCCACACUGGGACUGAGACACGGCCCAGACUCCUACGGGAGGCAGCAGUGGGGAAUUUUCCGCAAUGGGCGAAAGCCUGACGGAGCAAUACCGCGUGAGGGAGGAAGGCUCUUGGGUUGUAAACCUCUUUUCUUAAGGAAGAAGUUCUGACGGUACUUAAGGAAUAAGCAUCGGCUAACUCCGUGCCAGCAGCCGCGGUAAUACGGAGGAUGCAAGCGUUAUCCGGAAUCAUUGGGCGUAAAGAGUCCGUAGGUGGUCAUUCAAGUCUGCUGUCAAAGCAUGAGGCUUAACCUCAUACAGGCAGUGGAAACUGUGGGACUAGAGUUCGGUAGGGGUAGAGGGAAUCUCCAGUGUAGCGGUGAAAUGCGUAGAGAUUGGAAAGAACACCAGUGGCGAAAGCGCUCUACUAGGCCGAAACUGACACUGAGGGACGAAAGCUAGGGGAGCGAAAGGGAUUAGAUACCCUGGUAGUC